rnacentral:rRNA from 1 species
AUGUUAUUUCCUCUUCUUAUAUUACUACUUUUCACUUUGUUCAUUGGAUCCAUAUGAAUCUGUUUUAAUAAUGGAGGAAUUGGUAAUGGAAUAGCAGAGUUAACCAUAUUAUCAAUGUGGUUAACUCCCUCAAUAAACUUUACCGAGGAAAGUUCUAAUUUUUUUGUAAAUUCAUAUGAAUUUAUUACUAAUGCAAUUUCUUCUGUAAGUCUAUGCGAGCACCAAGACUUGAACCCUGGUGGGUAG